GAAAGAAGACUGGGAGACACCGGAACUCGAAAGAAAAUCGCAUACAGAAAGGCUGUACCUGGAGGAAGGAAGUGCGGAGCCAGCCUGAGUUGGGAGAAGAGCUCCAGAGAGUGAGUCAAAGCGCUCUGUGUCCUGCUAUUAAUGAUGCCCUCAUAGUCAGAGGAAGCCUACUUAAGUGAAAUCCAUUUUUGACCUGUCAAGUAUUAAAUAUUCUCUUAAUUUUUAGUACUGAAUGAUAGAAGGCGCCUAGUGAAACAAAUGCUUUCACUUUUUUGCUAGGAGGGUAAAUGAGUAUAUUCUUACGUUAGGUACACAGGGAUACAGUACAAGUAUGCCAGCCUCUUUAAACUAUAAAGAAGUAAACAAGAUUUGGUUUAAGCAUCAGUCUCUUGUGAGUCUGAUGGGUAAGCCCAGUCUCAGGGCACACUGACAAUGUUAGUGGAGAACGAGACUCUCCCAGUGUGCUGCCCUGACCCUCUGAGAUUGGUCUGUGUAGCCACGUGGUGGUCAUCCUGUGCCACCUCUGGUUUGGUUCUA
rnacentral:lncRNA from 1 species